GCAGAUCGGCUUCCGGUUCCGGUGGGCUCUGAACCCUGAAAGGACCCUGUACCCCUGUUCAAGAUCUAUGUGGCGGAGCUGAUCCAGCAGCUGCAGCAGCAGGCACUGUCAGAGCCGGCGGUGGUGCAGAAGAGAGCCAGUGGCCAGUGACCACACAGCUCCUCCAUGCCUGACCAACAGGCCCAGCUUUCCCUGCCAGGCCCUUUGCACUGAGGACACAGAUCCCGGGGAGCUGUGAGGGCCACCGGUGGGCAGUGGGUGGAUCCUGGUUUCGUGUGCUGCCCAUGCACCUUCCAGCCCGGGGCCAGCUUGGCAGGGAUCCCCAGGAGGCCUGGGCCGCCCAGAGGCUCCUCUCAGGCUGGGCCCCGACGUUUGCGGCAGUGUUCCUUGUGCCCGUGGGGCCGGGAGCGAGUAAAGUCUGGGCCAGGC
rnacentral:lncRNA from 1 species